ACUCCUACGGGAGGCAGCAGUGGGGAAUAUUGCACAAUGGGCGCAAGGCCUGAUGCAGCCCAUGCCGCGUGUGUGAAGAAGGCCUUCGGGGUUGUAAAAGCACUUUUCAGUCGUGAGGAAGGUAGUGUAGUUAAAUAGCUGCAUUAUUUGACGUUAGCGAACAGAAGAAGCACCGGCUAACUCCGUGCCAGCAGCCGCGGUAAUACGGAGGGUGCGAGCGUUAAUCGGAAUUACUGGGCGUAAAAGCGCAUGCAGGUGGUUUUG
rnacentral:rRNA from 1 species